CUUGGGGGCUGGCAGCCAGAUGGUGGCACAGAGGGGUGGGUGGGGCUCCUAGAAGGCCAGGUACACAUGGGGAGCUGCAUGUGUGGAUGGGCCCCCUCCUCCAAGCCAGGCCCUGGGCUGAGCUGUGGGCGGGCCACAGGACCAGCCUCUGCUCAGAUGAAAGCCUAGCUGUUACCUGUCUUCCCUGAGCCCUGAAGGCUCUGAGGCUCCUGAUGCCCACCGGCCACUCUUUGAGGCUUGACCUGGAAUGCUUGCCUCUCAGUGAUCUGCCCAGCUGCCCCGUCAGCUUUCUUACCCAGCACAGUGAUCUCAUCAACAAACUAUGUGAACAAGAAAGACAGUUUCUAAAGAAAGAUCACAAGGACUCAACAAGGCUGCAAAGGAGGCUGUAACAGGAGGAGAUGGUGAUGACCCUACCCCUCUCCCAUCUCAAUGAUUAACUAAGAUUACAUCCCUUUUUAUCUUUUAAAAACUUCCAUCACCAAGAAAAACCCUCAGAGUUGAUUUUCUGCGGACACUGAGCCUCAUCUCCCCAAAUUGUUGGCUUUCUGAUUAAAAGCAGGGUUUUCCAUUUCUAAC
ensembl:lncRNA